rnacentral:hammerhead_ribozyme from 1 species
GUACUGCUGAGGAGUCCCAAACUAGGACGAAACUGUCAUCCAGUAC